UGUCAGAUCAAAGCCGCUACUUAUGGCACUCCUGGCAGAACACUGAUGUAUUUCAAGGGAAACAUGAUGACACAUGCUAUAUUUACGCCCUUGAUCUAAAUAUUUACCUAUUUCCAGUUCCCCCCACACAACUCGUCACCGCCCGCCCAUUCACGAUCCUCCCGUUUUAGCAGCAGGAGUCCGACAAACACUCCGGAGCAUCCCGAGUGUGGCGAAGCCAGGGCUUCCUGCAUUGGGCAGGACAAAACCUGAAACAUCCAUCGUGUCAAGUAAUGGAGGGAGAAAUGAACGGCUCAAAAUCGAAUCACAGAACGUUCGCAAACGUGACGUCACUGUCUUCAAAAUCUUGCUGAUUACUGGACGUCUAUGCAAAAGUGAGAUGUGAAGCCAAACUGACGGAAGGGGAGUAACAGCUGACAGGAACAGAAGAUGUUGGAGGUUAAAAGAAGGGGAUUACCAAUAAACAAGCAUUGCAAAGGCCUCAGACGUGAGAAUACCGUGGUGAAGUCCUAUGGUUAAUCAUCUGAUCUACAACAUUCACAUGUCAGAGGGAAGAAUUAAAAGGAUGAAAAACUGGGAAAACUUUACCUUGUAUCCUGCACAAAAGAUCAAGGUCAACCCAACGUCAGCUAGACUGCUUUACCCUUGUAAAUGGAUAUUCAGCAAAUUAAUAACUUUGUAGGAACAACAUAGCAGCCAUCAGGUAUUUGCAAUAUUUGUCUGUAAACUACAUGGGGUUUAAUAAAUGAGCUUAACUUGUUUACGUUGUCACGUGCAGACGUCUUUAACGUCUGAGACGCAUGAGCUCUGAGACGUAAGGAAAUAUGGAAAUGAUGUAGUACUUUACGUAUUUAAGCUUUAAAAAAAUGUUUACUUGCACAUAACACCAUGCAUAGAUACAUUUGUAGUAAUUAAUCACCUGAAUGAGAGAGACGAGACGCACAUGAGCGCUUGUGGCGAGUUGUGUAGUUAGUAACGUGAGGGCAAACGCAGUCUGAUUUAAUCGUAUUGCUUCUAAUUAAAUAAUAGCCUAUAUGUAUCUUGAAAUGGAUUUGUUGUGACUGUGAUAAUAAGAACAUGUGCGUAGCGAACGUAGGAAAAUUACAGACGUGAGGGUUUUUUUUUAGCUUGUGGUGUUUUAUAAUUGUGAGGGUGAAAUAUUUAACAGAUUUGUGGGAUUCUAAUAGUUUGUUUAAAAUGUAAUAUGAAGCUGUAGACAGUUGGAGGGAGAGUUUUAGCUGCCAGGCGCGCGCUGUCCACUACAUGUGCUGCUGCUGACGUAUCACUCACAAGGCCAGCUGAGCUCAGAACUCGAGAUUAUGUUGCUUUUAAACGUUUUUCGCCAGAUAUGUUUAUUAUAUUGUAUACAUGUAAUUAGGUUUCAUAACUAGUGUUUAGGGAGCAUUUUGAGCAUAGUAAAUGUGAAAUAUGUAUUGUUGGAAUCACCAAAGGGUCAAAUGGGGCUGGGUAGUGCAUGAAGGGGGACAGAUAAAUAUGUUUAAAUUAAAGAAUAAAGAUUAUAGGCGUCGAGUUAUUCUUAAGAUGUCUGUGGUAGAUCAGUGAGCGUCGAGGACUGAAAGCUUGAAUGUAUAAUGCGUUACGUGAGAGAAAACGUGUGUGUGUGUGUGUGUGUGUGUGUGACAGAGAGAGGGAGAGUGUGUGUGUGUCUGAUCUCGAAAAUGUUGUGCUUUAAGGUUUGUCUAAACAAAGAUAAUUAAGUAAAAUAUCUACAUUUCGCAUCAGUUAUUAAAGUAUUAUUUUGUAGUAUAAUAAUAAAUAAAAAAAAUCACUGUUAGUGCACAGUUUGAUUAUUUGUGCCUUACGUGUCUUUUCUUUUUGUUGCUUUAUAAUAAUAAUAUUUGUAUGCUUUGCUGUUGUUUAUCAUGUAACCCCUAAAUGUGCUUAACAGUUUGAACUAAAUUGAGUAAAAUGAGUCAAGUGUGGUUGCUGCAGUGUACACUACGUAAGGACGUAAUUAACGUUGGGGUUCUGCAUUUCUCAAAAUUUAAAUGUCAUUUCUGUAUAGUUAACAGAGAAAAAAAUAUGCUGCAUUAACUAUUCGACCCUGAAUAACUGUUGAGCUAUUUUCUUACAUGAAACAAGCUGUACAUGUGGUGUGAGUGAUAAGUGUGAUUUUGUUACAAGACCUAAAAGCUGGAAGUCUGUCGUUCAUGUGACAAAGUUAUGAAUCACGUAUUUUGUAAUCAAACUGUUUGUUUUCUGUAUUCCCUAUCCCAUGUCAGGGAAAAUAAAAUGUUUGGAGUUA